GACGAACGCUGGCGGCGUGCUUAACACAUGCAAGUCGAGCGGUAAGGCCCUUUCGGGGGUACACGAGCGGCGAACGGGUGAGUAACACGUGGGUGACCUGCCCUCAGCUCUGGGAUAAGCCUGGGAAACCGGGUCUAAUACUGGAUAUGACUCCAUGACGCAUGUUGGUGGGGUGGAAAGCCUUGUGCGGCUGAGGAUGGGCCCGCGGCCUAUCAGCUU
rnacentral:rRNA from 1 species